rnacentral:lncRNA from 1 species
UUUCCCACAGACUCGCGCACCCUCAGAGACAACGGAGGCCUGUCAAGGCCGCCGCCGCCCCCCCCCCCCCCGCGGCCUGUCUCUGUGGCGACCCCGCUCUCCUUCCUUCCAGCGACGGCAAAAAAUGGGAAAGGGAAGCCGACGACGUGGAACUAGUGGAGCCGACACCCUUCCCCGCGAGUCCCAGGGCGGACCGACCAACCCACGACGACCGUGGCGGAAGAAGAGCCAAGAUUCUGGCCCCGCGGCCAUGAGGCGCCAGGCGGGGAGGGCAGCCAUCAUGUCGCCGUUGGGCACGGCGGUCAGAUUACGAGCGGGAUGUUUCCGGCGGCCUUAACGCGGCUCGGACUUUUCCUGCGCCCGUUUACCACGGAGGAAGAAAGCCGCCACUGGGCUGAAUGGGGGCUACUCCGAAGUAAUCGCGGCGUGUGUGGACAGUUAGCGCGCGCAGGCCGUGGGCAAGGGAUUCACACGAGACACGCACAUACAUACAGGCACAGCCGAUUUAAGGAGAAAACUGGGAAGGGGAAUAAUGAUGGUUAUGGUACCAGCCCAAUAAUAAUGAUAAUGGUACCCGCCCAUCUGACUGGGUUGCCCCAGCCACUCUGGGCGGCUUCCAACAUAUAUAUCUUAAGGUUGGCUGGCCGGCUUCCGUCGGUAUAUGGAGCAUAAUUUGGCAUAAUUAGUGAUAAUACGCGUCUGUAACUAUAUUUCCCAGCUUCCUGCAAAUAGGGUUUGGGGUUUUUUUGGUUUGGAAAAACAUGCCCAGUUAGGCUUACCAAAUCCUAUUUUGCAACUUGUCGAAAUGGGGAGCCCCAAGCACGUGGGUCCUCGGCCUCAAUUUGGAAGAAACUCGCAUGUUUUUACAAAUAAAAUCUCUCCAAUAAAUACGUAAUAAAAUCUCUUCAAACACACAACGUGCGUUGGAGGAGGCGUUUUUUUGAAGGCUUCCCCAUAAUCUCUUGCAACACAGGAGUUUUGUUUGUUUGGUGUACUGAUACACCUUCUGUCUCUCCAGGCAGUUCAGUAUUUUGGUGAAAUUCCAACAUGCUUGGAAACGAAGGGAAACAACAGCCCCUUGCCAUCGUUUAUUACUGUUGCAAGCAGACACCCGAGUGGUAGUCUUCUGAUUAAGAAUAAACUUCCGAUCGAGGACGAAAUAGCUCCGUCUAUUGUCAGCUGGACGAACGGAGCUCCACUGGUUUCUGCGUGAAACUGAUCCUGACUUCGGAUGGCAAGGAGCCUACACCAACUGGAGACGUAUCAGAUUUAGCCAGGCUGCAUAUUUUCCGUAUGCGUUUAAUCACCAACAAAAUACCGUUAUAAUUUAUGGUCCAGGGGCAGGUUUGGAUGCAGCUACAGACGUAUCUGGUGGCUGAAUGGUACCUAUCUUAGGGUUGGUCGGUGAGUGCAAAUAUGAGACAAGUGACUGCACCUGUGGCCCGGUGGUGGUGGGGGGGGGGACCCACAACAAUCGUAUUUUGCAACACUGCAUCUCAUCACACUAACAGGACGGGGAUAUCGUGAUGAUUAUUUAGAGCUGAAUGCGUGCAUGUUGCAUUUCAGCGCUUAGAUGAAAAAGGAUCAAGCAGGAGUUGGUUGCAUCUCUCAUCAGGCGGCCUCAGAAUCCAGGAAGCGACAGAGGUCCGACGCCUCGAGAAUUAAGGUGUACAUAACCGGGAAUGUUUCUGGCCGCGAUUGGUAGAUUGCAAGGCAUCACGUUCCUCCCUGGGGCUUUAAAAUAAAAUGGAGGUGGGACCCACCGUUUAAGCUGUCCUGCUUGAACGGAGACGCAGAGUCGAGGGAGAUCGCAGCUGGGAAGACAGGACCCGGCUGGCGUUUCCAGAUAUAUAUAGAUAUCUGUAUAUAUGUAUAUGCAUGCAUAUGUAUGUACACACACACACACACACAAAAUACGUGUUCCUCAGGGCGCACCCUGCUUGGAGACGAAUGUGCUCUAGGAUCAAAGUCGUCCAUCUCUCCUUUGCCAUUGUUAUUACUGUAUUGUCGUUCUGAUCCUGAAGACCCAGCCAGAUGGGCGGGGUAUAAAUAAUAAAAUUAUUAAAUAU